rnacentral:lncRNA from 1 species
GUAAAAGGAUCUCUCCAUUGAACCUUUGCCUUACUCGUUGUCAUGUGUUUCUCUCCUGUAGGGGUCGCUGUGGCCUGUGAGUUUCUUCUUCUGAACGGAGCGAAUGUGAACCACAGAGACCUGAGCGGACAGGGCGCUCUGCACGCCGCCGCCACCGCUGGACACACCGGUCAGGUGUCUGCUGCUGAAGCGAGGAGCCAAUCAGUACGCGGUGGACGAGCGAGGACACGACCCGCUGGCCAUCGCCAUGGAGACCGCCCCAAGCCGACAUCGUCACUCUGCUGAGAAUGGCUCGAAUGAACGAAGAGAUGAAGGACUCUGAGGGAGCGUUCGAGCCGUCGGUGAGUUCA